AUACCUUACUCGGCCUUGUGGUUAAGAUCAAGUGUAGUUUCUGUUCUCACCAGCUUAAUAUCUGAUACAUGGACCACUGUCCCACAUGAUAUCAACCAUAUGGCGUUUUAUUCAAAAAAUUGAGAAACAGUUUUUGCAAAAUUCUUCUAGUUACAAGAACCACACAAAAGAAAAGUAUGAGUUUUGCUACUU
rnacentral:snRNA from 2 species